AUCCAGUUGACGAGUCAUAAAUAGGUCGAAACGCGCGUCAAACUGGAU
rfam:Schistosoma rodhaini strain Burundi genome assembly, scaffold: SROB_scaffold0004009